AGACGUCUACAUUAAUACCCCCGGUAGUCCCAGCCGUAAACUAUGCGCGUUAGGUGUAUCGGUGACCACGAGUCACCGAGGUGCCGAAGGGAAACCGUGAAACGUGCCGCCUGGGAAGUACGGUCGCAAGGCUGAAACUUAAAGGAAUUGGCGGGGAGCACCACAACGGGUGGAGCCUGCGGUUUAAUUGGACUCAACGCCGGGAAGCUCACCGGAUAAGACAGCGGAAUGAUUGCCGGGCUGAAGACUCUGCAUGACUAGCUG
rnacentral:rRNA from 1 species